GGUUAAUUGUAAAGGGUUUCCCCCUACUACCACUCCCUGAGUUUUUUAUUUGCAAUGUUUAUUUUUGUUUUUUUUUUAAACUCUCUUCCCAGUUCCAGAUGGUUGAGGUUGAUGGAAGCCUAACCUCCAAUUAAAGAAAUUGUCAUGGUUUCUGUGGCACUGCAAUGGCAAAAUCAAAUAUACACCUCUUCAAACUGAAAGGUGUUAGUCGCAGCGUGUGGGAUCCAGUUCCCUGACCAGGGUCGAGCCCCAGCCCCCUUCACUGGGAGUGUGAAAUCUCAGCCACUGGACCAUCAGGGAAAUUCAAGGGCAUGGAUUUGAGCAGCAAACACACCUG